CACAUCCAGAGGAUUGUGCUCAUUUCUAGGAAGGACAUCAAUAGACUACAGAACGUCCAUAAUUGGGCAACCAGGAUGGAGAAGCUAGGUAAAGCCAUGAUACACAGAACAUUGGACCUGGAAUCCAGAGGACUCGAAUCUUGCCUCUGACACUCAAGGAACAUGUGUAGUUACAUGCAAGGUAUACAUUACAUAGGCCUACAAGAAUUUGGCCCAGCUGGGUGGAAUUGGCCUUAGUGUGCAAAAGAAUGCUAUGUGCCCCAUCAAAAUACUGUAAUUUGCUCACCCCUCCAAUCGCAAUGUUGCUAUCAAAAUUCCAUUAUAAUAAGAGGCUGAAGAUUAUUCAUAUGUACACACAAAACUAAAGCCAAAUCCAAGAAAAGGCCAACAAGGAAUUGAAAAAUCUCUACCAAGUUCCUGAAAGGCCAUUGGAAGAGAGGCUGACAGACAUCAUCAUGCAGGGCAAUCUGAAUGACAUCA